CGACACAGCCGAAGGCAGACACUUAACCAACUGAGCCAUCCAGGCAUCCAGAGGAGACUGGGGGCAGUGGGUAGAAGAACGAAGCCUUCUGCAUCAAAGGAAGAUCUCAGAGGUGCCAGCCCUGUGAGGAGAUGAGAGAUCAGCCGGGUUGUCUGGAUCCAGUUUUUACCAAAAUGAUGGGCCAGAGAAAGAAGGAACCUUCGACAGUCUGACCUAGUUACAUUUGCAUUUUCCCAGGAAAAAUGACUGUAAAAUUCCUCAGAAACACUUGGAGUCGUUUUCUGGCUUAGAGAGGAAGAAGGCGGGGAGAAACAAUGACACUGCAUUCAGGGCUGAAAAGAGAAGAAAGCCCAACUGGGGAAUGCAGGGCGAUGCUAGAAGAAAGCCAGGUCCCACCUGGAUCCUCUGGGAGAAAAGGAUGAAAAAGGGAAGUGGCUUGGCAAGGAGACCUGUCCCCAGCCAUCUGCACUUGCAGGAGAACCUGGCCACCAAAGGCACUGCGCGUUUCCAGGCAGGAACGGCGGGUGGCACUCAACAGCGGAGAAGAAAAAAAUCAUCAGAUACUGACACGUUCUUUAAGAUCAUGAAGUUUACUUUCCCCAAAGAAUCUUUUUAAAAUCCCACACUGAUUUGGCAACUUUCUCAUUAUCAUGCCCUGGGUAUGGUUUCCUGAGGGGAAAUCCCGAUCUCCUUACCCACGUAAGCCCUGGGUGGUUUCCUGAGGGGAAAUCCCGAUCUCCUGGAUUACAUAAAAUAAAAACAUAAAAGAAGAAGAAGGAGAAGAAGGAGCGGAGGAAGAGGAAGGAGAAGGAGAAGUACAACCUUCUAGCCACGUUUGUUGGGAGGAUCCAGUGACUGGGCCUCUGAAGCUCUUAGCGGAUCCCCCGGCCUGGAGCAGGUGUUUGCUCAAUGCCGUCGUUGCUUCUACUGACUCAGUUGUGCGAGUAUCUCGGGAUUAGGCGCUGAGUACCCAGGGCCACACUUGCUUUGUCGGGGAGAGGGUCAUCCAAACUCGGUGGAGUGUGGUGGAGACUGCUAGAUGUUUUUUGCAUCAGACAUCUCUUAGGCGAUGCUUGAGAUCUUUCAGCCUCCUCUGUCUCAGACUUCGGCCUCUGGUCUGGGCCCGGCUGCUGCUGGAGUGUACCAGCUCUGCACGUCUUCUGACUUCAUGCAGAUGCCAUGUGAUGGUCACGCCCCUCAGGACCUGUGCCAUUUGCGGGCUGACUUCCCUUGCUGAGGUUUCCCUGUUGUGGAAAGAGUCCUUAAAAGAAUGGACAUGCCCUUCUCUUUCUCAGAGCAUGAGCAGGGGGAGGGCCAGAGGGAGAAGCAGACCCUGCUGAGUGUGGAGCCCAAGGCAGG